rnacentral:lncRNA from 10 species
UACUAUUUAUCACUUUUACCCGGUUUACCUCCAAAUAGGAUCUGAGGAGACCUAUUUUUGUGUCAGCGAUAUUAAGUUCAAAGCUCUUAUCAGAACUCCUGGGCUAGCUUAGCCCUUCAAAGGUAUGGCACAUUGCUUGCCAACAACAGAUAACCCACUCAGUUACUGAAAUGCACUUGGCCUCAUUUCAAAGUCCCAUCCCUGCCUUCUUCAGCAUGACACCUUCCAGUGACUGUGCAGACUUUUGGUCCUGUUCCUACUUUGACUGUUCUUGUUCUUUGGCUUUGUCUUCCUGAGGAUCCUGCAAAAUCUUCUGAAUAAGCAUGAAAAUAUUUCCUCAGUAAGAGAUGAACCAGCUUCUCUGGUUGUGUGUGGCAGGAAAGGCAAGUAAAAUUAGGUGGCGAUACCUAUUCUCAACUGCUUUGAGUCCUUCACAGCUUCCUUCAAUAGUGGUCCAUCAAUGCCAUAUAAAACCUGAGAUAAUUCACCUUUUUUUUUUUUUUUUUUUUUGAGACGGAGGCUCACUCUGUUGCCAGGCUGGGGUGCAGUGGUGCGAUCUUGGCUCACUGCAACCUCCACCUCCCAGUUUCAAGGAAUUCUCCUGCCUCAGCCUCCCAAGUAGCUGGGACUACAGGCAUGCACCAGCACGCCCAGCUAAUUUUUGGAUUUUUUAGUAGAGACAGGGUUUCACCAUGUUGGCCAGGAUGGUCUUGAUCUCUUCACCUCGUGAUCCGCCCGCCUCGGCCUCCCAAAGUUCUGGGAUUACAGGCGUGAGCCACCACACCCAGCCAAUAAUUCAUCUUUACAGGUGCUAGACAGAACUGGAGGGAAUGAAUAAAAAGAGGUUUAAAACUACUAUAACUUUCAGAAAAUUUAUUGAGCGGGUUAUACUUCGUCUUUUAUCAUUUGCAUUCAUUUUUUUAUGUUAUAAUUACAUUUCCUAAAAUUAGGGUAGAUUGUCAACAAGAAGCCCUAUGAGGCCAAUGGUUUGAAUAAUAAAGCUCAUAGUAAAUGUUUUCUCUUGAGAUAGCAAUAGAUAUUUGUUAUUUACAUUUCUUAAAUUAUGUUGUGCAUUCUUUCAUGCCUACUGUAUUUCUUCUUUGGUGAACUGCCUGUUCGUAUCUUUUACCUAUUUUUGUUUUGGAGUGGUAGUGUUUUUAAAAAUUCUAUAACUUAACAUGAUAAUGACACCAAGUCCAAUGUCCUAUCCUUUCUUAAAAAGCAGCCUCUAAAAUGUCAGUAUUUUGGCUUCGCUCUCCCUCCAGUUCUCUCCUUGAAGUAUAACAGAAAGUG